AAAAAAGGCUUCUGCCAUGAGUGGUACUCAUAGCCCAGCUUGCUUGAUCUACGUGUGGAACUGGUAUCAAGAGAUUUCAGAAGCAUAAUGUUUUCGCAGUAGGGCAGCUAGUGAUCACUGGUCCUGGUCUCCCAA
ensembl:snRNA